AAGAGAGGUCUAGGACAAAAAGAACUGCUAAUUCUUUCAUCCACAGUUAAAAUCCGUGGCUCACUUA
rnacentral:tRNA from 1 species